rnacentral:rRNA from 1 species
GUGAGGAAUAUUGGACAAUGGGCGCAAGCCUGAUCCAGCCAUGCCGCGUGCAGGAAGACGCAUCUAUGGUGUGAAAACUGCUUUUGUACGGGAAGAAACACUCCCUCGUGAGGGAGCUUGACGGUACCGUAAGAAUAAGGAUCGGCUAACUCCGUGCCAGCAGCCGCGGUAAUACGGAGGAUCCAAGCGUUAUCCGGAAUCAUUGGGUUUAAAGGGUUCGUAGGCGGUUUAAUAAGUCAGUGGUGAAAGCCCAUCGCUCAACGAUGGAACGGCCAUUGAUACUGUUAGACUUGAAUUACAAGGAAGUAACUAGAAUAUGUAGUGUAGCGGUGAAAUGCUUAGAUAUUACAUGGAAUACCAAUUGCGAAGGCAGGUUACUACUUGUGGAUUGACGCUGAUGGACGAAAGCGUGGGGAGCGAACAGGAUUAGAAACCCGGGUAGUCC